CAGAGCUGGGGACAAAAGGACGGAGCCCCUGCAUCACAGCCAGCUCUGGUGGCUCGUGCCUGCAGGACACCCUGAGCCACAAAGCAUCCAUCUGUCCCAUCUGUCUGUCUAUCCAACCAUCCACUCACCCUCCCAUCCAUCUCCCUGUAUUCACCUUCCUGAGUGUCUGUCCGUCCAUCCAUCCAUCCAUCCACCCAUACUUCCAUCUUUCCGUUUCUCCAUCCAUCCAUCCAUCCAUCCAUCCAUCCAUCCAUCCAUCCAUCUUCCUUCCUUCCUUCCUUCCACCCUUCCUUCCUUCCUUCCUUCCUUCCUUCCUUCCUUCCAUUCACCUAUCCACCCAUCCAUCCAUCUCUCCAUCUGUCCGUCCAUCCAUCCCUCCCUCCCUCCCUCCCUCCAUCCAACCAUCUGCCCACCCCUCAUCCCUCUGCCCCUCCCCACACUCUGUGCCCCCAUGGGCUGUGUCACCCCUCUCCAUGCCCUUUCCGUGGCCACGGCAGUGAGACGCUGUGCUCCCACAGUGCACACACACCCCACAAUGCACACACACCCCACAGUGCACACACACCCCACAUCCAUGCGUGUGCACACUUCCUGCAGCACACACAGCCCCAGAGAUUUGCACAUACGUGGCGUGUGAGCACAGCGCAUGUAUUGCACAGAGUGUGUGCAUGCAAGUGUGCACAGCACGUGUGUACGUGCACACCUGUGUGUGUGCUAGGAAUGUGUGCAUGUGAACGGCACAUACGUGUGUGUAAAUGUGUGUGCGCACACGUGCACAGCCUGUGUGCACGCUCACAUGUAUGCAUGUGCACGAUGUGUGUGUGCACGCGUGUGCUGUGUGCAUGUAUGGUGCACAACCCCGCCGGUGGGCGUGGCCAACACAAAGGGGGCGUGGUCAGCCGAGAUGGGCGUGGCCAACCGCGAAGGGCGUGGCCAAUCAGGGCGUGGCGCGGGAGGACAGGGGGCGUGGCCAAACGGGGCGCGGCAAAAAAAGUGGGCGGAGCCUGGAAACAUCCGCGGGGCCACCCCUGCUGCAUCCCGCCCCACAUCCCGCCCCAUAUCGCACCCCAUAUCGCACCCCGUGCCCCCCAGCAGCCGCAGAGCCCCCCCGGCUGGGCGCUUUGCUGUGUGCAUGCGCCUCCUUUUUUUUUUUUUUUUUUUUUGGAUAGCAGUAGAAUGCGGUAUGCAAAUGAGAUGGUUAUUACCGCAAUGUUCGUCAAGCUGAGCUGAGAAGA
rnacentral:lncRNA from 1 species